GGCCUGUGCUCAGUUGGUGAGAACAUGGUGCUAGUAACACCCAGGUCAUGGGUUUGAUCCCUCUAUGGGCCA